rnacentral:rRNA from 1 species
AGACUUUGAUUAUGGCUCAGGAUGAACGCUAGCGGCAGGCUUAACACAUGCAAGUCGAGGGGCAGCAUAAUGGAUAGCAAUAUCUAUGGUGGCGACCGGCGCACGGGUGCGUAAUGCGUAUGCAACCUACCUUUAACAGGGGGAUAACACUGAGAAAUUGGUACUAAUACCCCAUAAUAUCAUAGAAGGCAUCUUUUGUGGUUGAAAAUUCCGAUGGUUAGAGAUGGGCAUGCGUUGUAUUAGCUAGUUGGUGGGGUAACGGCUCACCAAGGCGACGAUACAUAGGGGGACUGAGAGGUUAACCCCCCACACUGGUACUGAGACACGGACCAGACUCCUACGGGAGGCAGCAGUGAGGAAUAUUGGUCAAUGGACGCAAGUCUGAACCAGCCAUGCCGCGUGCAGGAUGACGGCUCUAUGAGUUGUAAACUGCUUUUGUACGAGGGUAAACGCAGAUACGUGUAUCUGUCUGAAAGUAUCGUACGAAUAAGGAUCGGCUAACUCCGUGCCAGCAGCCGCGGUAAUACGGAGGAUUCAAGCGUCAUCCGGAUUUAUUGGGUUUAAAGGGUGCGUAGGCGGUUUGAUAAGUUAGAGGUGAAAUUUCGGGGCUCAACCCUGAACGUGCCUCUAAUACUGUUGAGCUAGAGAGUAGUUGCGGUAGGCGGAAUGUAUGGUGUAGCGGUGAAAUGCUUAGAGAUCAUACAGAACACCGAUUGCGAAGGCAGCUUACCAAACUAUAUCUGACGUUGAGGCACGAAAGCGUGGGGAGCAAACAGGAUUAGAUACCCUGGUAGUCCACGCAGUAAACGAUGAUAACUCGUUGUCGGCGAUACACAGUCGGUGACUAAGCGAAAGCGAUAAGUUAUCCACCUGGGGAGUACGUUCGCAAGAAUGCAACUCAAAGGAAUUGA